UACGUAGGUGGCAAGCGUUACUCGGAAUCACUGGGCGUAAAGCGCAGGUAGGCGGUUUGUUACGUCUUUUGUGAAAGCUCCUGGCUCAACUGGGAGAGGUCAAAGGAAACUACCAGGCUAGAGUGUGGUAGGGGAUACUGGAAUUCCUGGUGUAGCGGUGAAAUGCGCAGAUAUCAGGAGGAAUACCUAUGGCGAAAGCAGGUAUCUGGGCCAUCACUGACGCUGAGCUGCGAAAGCGAGGGGAGCAAACAGG
rnacentral:rRNA from 1 species